rnacentral:lncRNA from 1 species
UCCCAACACCAUGGCAGGUGUCCCCAGUUAGCAUCAGGCAAGCAAUAAAAGAGUGAUUUCAUUCCCUAUUACAAAUUGUGGCUGGUACUUCUGCAGUGGAGUGGCUGGAAGACACAGUUUUUGAUACUGCAACAAUGAAUGCGGUCAUGUUUGGGAGCUACUCAGCUACUGCAGUGUUGCAAGCUAUAUGAGUUUCAAGCACGUAAAUCGGAGGGGAGCAGAAGAACCUCUUUGUUCCCCAGCCCUGCCCCCGGGUGUAUAAAUAGCCGCCUGGGUGGCUGCUGGAGUGCCUCUCAUUCCAGAGAUCUUUGGCCACCCUCUUAUCAAAACAGAAAGACUGACUUCACUCCUGCUCUCUGCCGACUGAUUUCAUGCUGGAAACAGCUUAUUGGGCUUGGCAAAGGCAGCUCUCAUCAGACCAACCUCACAACUUUCUUACCAACAGCUGGCAUAAACAAAAGAAAUGUGUCCUCUCCCAGCUCUAGUGUGGCAUCUGAUGUCCUCCCCCAAUUCUGAUGCUGAAGACCAUCAUUUUUACGUAAGGUAUGCAGGAAGACCACAGCAGGCAAUACUGCGAAAUAAAGGACCAGGCAGAAAGCA